rnacentral:tRNA from 1 species
CAGCCCGGUGGGCGACUGGUUGCCGUGCCGCCGCAGGCUGACGAUCUGCAAGCGUGGGAUGCCUUGCUGGCCGCGUUCACGCCCGGCGUGGUGC